rnacentral:rRNA from 1 species
GAUGAACGCUGGCGGCGUGCCUAAUACAUGCAAGUCGAGCGAACAGACGAGGAGCUUGCUCCUCUGACGUUAGCGGCGGACGGGUGAGUAACACGUGGAUAACCUUCCUAUAAGACUGGGAUAACUUCGGGAAACCGGAGCUAAUACCGGAUAAUAUAUUGAACCGCAUGGUUCAAUAGUGAAAGACGGUUUUGCUGUCACUUAUAGAUGGAUCCGCGCCGCAUUAGCUAGUUGGUAAGGUAACGGCUUACCAAGGCGACGAUGCGUAGCCGACCUGAGAGGGUGAUCGGCCACACUGGAACUGAGACACGGUCCAGACUCCUACGGGGGGCAGCAGUAGGGAAUCUUCCGCAAAGGGCGAAAGCCUGACGGAGCAACGCCGCGUGAGUGAUGAAGGUCUUCGGAUCGUAAAACUCUGUUAUUAGGGAAGAACAAAUGUGUAAGUAACUAUGCACGUCUUGACGGUACCUAAUCAGAAAGCCACGGCUAACUACGUG